GCAGUCGAACGGCAGCACGGAGCUUGCUCUGGUGGCGAGUGGGGAACGGGUGAGUAAUAUAUCGGAACGUACCCUAGAGUGGGGGAUAACGUAGCGAAAGUUACGCUAAUACCGCAUACGAUCUAAGGAUGAAAGUGGGGGAUCGCAAGACCUCAUGCUCGUGGAGCGGCCGAUAUCUGAUUAGCUAGUUGGUAGGGUAAAAGCCUACCAAGGCAUCGAUCAGUAGCUGGUCUGAGAGGACGACCAGCCACACUGGAACUGAGACACGGUCCAGACUCCUACGGGAGGCAGCAGUGGGGAAUUUUGGACAAUGGGCGAAAGCCUGAUCCAGCAAUGCCGCGUGAGUGAAGAAGGCCUUCGGGUUGUAAAGCUCUUUUGUCAGGGAAGAAACGGUGAAAGCUAAUAUCUUUUGCUAAUGACGGUACCUGAAGAAUAAGCACCGGCUAACUACGUGCCAGCAGCCGCGGUAAUACGUAGGGUGCAAGCGUUAAUCGGAAUUACUGGGCGUAAAGCGUGCGCAGGCGGUUUUGUAAGUCUGAUGUGAAAUCCCCGGGCUCAACCUGGGAAUUGCAUUGGAGACUGCAAGGCUAGAAUCUGGCAGAGGGGGGUAGAAUUCCACGUGUAGCAGUGAAAUGCGUAGAUAUGUGGAGGAACACCGAUGGCGAAGGCAGCCCCCUGGGUCAAGAUUGACGCUCAUGCACGAAAGCGUG
rnacentral:rRNA from 1 species